GGAAAUGUGCCCGAAUACUCUUUUAAGGAUCACCGUGAUAUUGUGAACAUAGAGGUACACAAUCCUCUCAUUUCC
rnacentral:tRNA from 1 species